GGAGGGAUCAUUAAUGAAAUGGCCUCUUGGCCAUGAAAACCCCAAACCUGUGGAAGCAAAGACGUGCUUCGGCGGCCCCCAAUGGUGGCCCGCCGCAUUUAUGCUGUCUAGUGUUUGUGUCUGAAUGGAAACUAAAAAUCAAAACUUUCAACGAAGGAUCUCUUGGCUCUCGCAUCGAUGAAGAACGCAGCGAAGCGCGAAAUGUAAUGUGAAUCGCAGAACAUUGUGAAUCAUCGAAUCUUUGAACGCACAUUGCGCCUCUCUUUGGGGAGGCAUGCCUGUCUGAGCGUCAUUGAACCAUAAACUCGUAAUGGGUUUGUCAUUGGGUCUCGCCCUUGGCGUCUCCUCAAAGUCAUCGGUCUUAUAUGAACGGACGAAAUCCAUAAGGACUAACCGUUCUAGAGACUUUAAACUCUCUGAACUUGACCUCAGAUCAGGUAGGGCUACCGCCUGAACUUAAGCAUAUCAAUAAGGCGAGGAACAGAAACCAACAGGGAUUCCCUAGUAGUGGCGAAUGAAGCGGGAAAGCUCAAGUUUGAAAUCUGCGAGGCUUGUCCAAGCAGAGUUGUAAGCUGAAGAGGCAUCGACCGACUUGGUCCAGGUCCAAUUUCCUUGGAACAGGGAGUCAUGGAGGGUGAGAACCCCGUCUGUGGCUUGGAUACCUUGUCCUUGUGUCGUGUCCUCGAAGAGUCGGGUUGUUUGGGAAUGCAGCUCAAAAUGGGUGGUAAAUUUCAUCUAAGGCUAAAUAUUGGCGAGAGACCGAUAGCGAACAAGUAGAGUGAUCGAAAGAUGAAAAGUACUUUGAAAAGAGAGUGAAACAGUACGUGAAAUUGUUGAAAGGGAAGCGUUUGGCAUCAGCCCAUGGCCUUCGUCGAUCAUCCAGGCUUCUGUCUGGUGCACUUGUCGUUGGUCGGGCCAGCGUCGGCUUUGCUCGUCGGAUAAAGGCCUUGGGAAUGUGCCUCCUCUCGGGGAGGGUUAUAGCCCUGGUGUAUGCGACGUGGUGGGGCCGAGGUCCGCGGAUUAUCCUAGGACGCUGGCGUAAUGGUUCCAAGCGACCCGUCUUGAAACACGGACCAAGGAGUCUAACAUCUAUGCGAGUGUUUGGGUGUCAAGCCCGUCCGCGCAAUGAAAGUGAAUGUAGGCGGGAGCCUUUAGAGGGUGCACCGUCGACCGGUCCGGGGUUUACCGAAGGAUCUGAGUAAGAGCAUAGCUGUUGGGACCCGAAAGAUGGUGAACUAUGCCUGAAUAGGGUGAGGCCAGAGGAAACUCUGGUGGAGGCUCGAAGCGGUUCUGACGUGCAAAUCGAUCGUCGAAUUUGGGUAUAGGGGCGAAAGACUAAUCGAACCAUUGAGAUUGCUACUAGUGGUUAAGAGACGGUCUCAAAACCCGUCUAGUCUUCUUCACAAAGGGGGGGCUACAUUGUCAAAUUGCAGGGACAUCCUAAAGACUCUGUUACCAAGCAAGGAUGGAAACUACCUUGUGGCCCAGGUAAUGACUGGGGGUAUGGUGACAACACAGAGUAUGAGCCACAUUGGCGGCGAAAUGGAUCACCUGCAGCCAAGUCCUAAGGCCCUCUGAGGGGCUAUGGAUGCAGUUCACAGACUAAAUGGCAAUGGGUUCGCUCUCCCAAGAGCGAGCUUAAGUUAUAGUCGGUCUGCCCCGUGAGGGGGUUUGUCGAGCAAAGAUUGAUCAGAUCCUGAACUCGACAAGAGCCUUGCCAUAAGGCUCAGGACAGCGCUAGUAGCUGGUUCCUGC
rnacentral:misc_RNA from 1 species